rnacentral:lncRNA from 1 species
AAAAACACCAGGGCUUGAUGGUAUACCAGUAGAGGUAUGUCAGACCUUUUUUGGAUGUACUCAAAGAUCCAUUGUUAGCAUAUUUUAAUUACUCUUAUAAAAAUGGUAGACUUUCAGGUACUCAACAAGAAGGUCUGAUUUCAUUACUACUAAAACAGGACCCAGGUGGUAAAUAUAAAGAUCCAGUCCAUUUAAAAAACUGGAGGCUUCAAUGUUGUGAUGCGAAAAUCAAAUCAAAUCAAAUGUAUUUAUAUAGCCCUUCUUACAUCAGCCGAUAUCUCAAAGUGCUGUACAGAAACCCAGCAUAAAACCCCAAACAGCAAGCAAUGCAGGUGUAGAAGCACAGUGGCUAGGAAAAACUCUCUAGAAAGGCCAAAACCUAGGAAGAAACCUAGAGAGGAACCAGGCUAUGAGGGGUGGCCAGUCCUCUUCUGGCUGUGCCAGGUGGAGAUUAUAACAGAACAUGGCCAAGAUGUUCAAAUGUUCAUAAAUGACCAGCAUGGUCAAAUAAUAAUAAUCACAGUAGUUGUCGAGGGUGCAACAGGUCAGAACCUCAGGAGUAAAUGUCAGUUGGCUUUACAUAGCCGAUCAUUGAGAGUAUCUCUACCACUCCUGCUGUCUCUAGAGAGUUGAAAACAGCAGGUCUGGGACAGGUAGAACGUCCGGUGAACAGGUCAGGGUUCUAUAGCCGCAGGCAGAACAGUUGAAACUGGAGCAGCAGCACGGCCAGGUGGACUGGGGACAGCAAGGAGUCAUCAUGCCAGGUAGUCCUGAGGCAUGGUCCUAGGGCUCCGAUCCCCCGAGAGAGAGAAAGAAAGAAAGAAAGAAAGAAAGAGAGAAUUAGAGAGAGCAUACUUAAAUUCACACAGGACACUGGAGAAAUACUCCAGAUAUAACAGACUGACCCUAGCCCCCCGACACAUAAACUACUACUGAAAAUCCUGAUGAAAUGCAUAGCACAUAGAAUAAAAAAGGUUUUACCAGAUAUUGUUCAUCCUGAUCACACAAGUUUUUUUACAUGGGCGAUAUAUUGGAGUUAAUAUACAACAAUUACUUGAAACAAUUGAACAUUAUGAAACCUCAAAGAUACCAGGCCUGGUCUUCAUAGCAGAUUUUGAAAUGGCAUUUGAUAAAGUAUGACUAGAAUUUUUAUAUAAAUGCCUGGAUUAUUUUAAUUUCGGCGAAUCUCUUAUACAAUGGGUUAAAGUUAUGUACAGCAACCCCAGAUCUAUAAUAGUAAAUAAUGGUUACUUCUCAGAAAGUAUUGAGCUUUUAAGAGGAGUAAAACAAGGCUGUCUGUUGUCUCCGUAUCUAUUUAUUAUGGCCAUUGAAAUGCUAGCUAUUCAAAUUAGCUAAAAUGAUUAAAUAUUAAAGCUUUAAACCUCUCACUAAAAGCUUCACUCAUACAUAAAUUAUACUUAAACCCCAAAUGGUUCUCCAGUAGAUUAUUAAGAAAGACUAUCCUUUGUUUAAAAAUUGCCUUUUUGCCUUAAUACAGAUUACAACUUCUCAUUUCCUACUAAUUGAAAAUGAAAUUUUGUUUAAAGUAUUGCUCUUUCUUAAACAAGCCAUACAAAGCUGUUUACAUUUUCAGUUUUAUCCUCUAGAAAAGAUUACAACAAAUGUUAAAUGGUUAAACUCAAAUAUACUGAUUAAUAUUUUUUUAUUAUAUUUAUGAAUGAUAUUAUGAAUAGAAACGGUGGAGUUGUGUCACAUAUGCAUCUAUCGAAAAUAUAUGGGAAUGUCUGCUCAAUCCAAACUUACAACCAACUGAUUGCAGCAUUACCACACAAAUGGAGGAGGCAAGUGGAAAAGCGAGAAUGCAGGGAACAUGUUUGCCUGCCAUAUAUUAAAGAUACAAAUUGGCUGAAAGGAAUUGUCAUAAAUAGACAAAUAUACCAGUUUCAUUUGAGGACAGAAAUGUUGAUAGCUGCACCAUACAGGUUGCAAAAUAAAUGGGAAGAGAUUUCCAAUGUACCGAUUCCAUGGCACAUGGUUUAUGAACUGGAACAAAAAACAACAUUUCAAGUUUUUCAAUUUAAAUUAUGAUAUAAAAUUCUUGCCACCAACAGAAUGCUAUAUAUAUAUGGGGCAUACAACAAUCUCAGCUCUGUAGAUUUUUCUGCGAAGAGACAGAAUCAAUGGAUCAUUUAUUCUGAUAUUGCCCCUAUGUAGCUUGUUUAUGGUCACAGGUUCAGGAAUGGUUGAAAAAUCACAACAUGCACUUAAAAUUAAUCUUACAAAUAGCAGUGUUGGGUGAUUUGGAAAGCCGUUGGCAGUCAAUACAUAAUAUAAUAAUACUCAUAGGAAAGGUUUUCAGCUUUAGCUCACAAUCUGUGGAUAUUAUACGAUUAGAAAAGUUCAAAAUGUAUGUAAAACAUCACAGCACAAUUGAAAAGUAUAUGGCACAUGGAAACCAAACGAGGGUGGUCUAUGGUGAUAGGUGGGAUGGGCUGAGAGUGGCUGAGGGGUGGAAUUAAAGAGCUUAUGUAUGGUAAUGUAUUAUUGUUAUGUGACUGCUUUAUAUAAAAGUACCAAUGUAUGUAAAAUGUGUAUGCAAUAUGUUUAUGUGAAAUGUAUAUGUAAAAUAUAUGUAUAGGUAGCAGAAAAUCUAUUAAAAAAAAACAUAUUUUUUCCCACGAAGAGGGGCCUAACAAAAAAAAUUAAAAAAUAAGCUGAGGUAAGGUAGCUAACGUUACCUAGCUAACUAGCUAGCUACCGAACUACAUUUGUUUACUUUAGCUAACUAACUAACGCAGAUGCUAAAGUCCGAUCCCAUCAAUAUCCAGAGGCAUCAACAUCAAGCUCAGCACCAGGAACUAGUUACAAACAAAUCUUCUGCAAGAGGUCGAAGCAGUGGUUGGUGAAGAAAGUGUACGAGAGGCUUGUCGACAUGGCUGUGGAGUGCAGAAAGGACCAGACGGUUGUCUACAAGGAUCCAGAGUCACAGCCCCCCAAACACAACAUCACCACAUCGCCAAAGCCUUCUAAACCAACUGCCAUUACCCAAGACGAGGGUCCCCAGCUGAAGAACAUUCUGGAACCUGUCUGGAACAUUCAACAAACACAACAUCCACAUUCAGUGAGACCGAUGUUGUAGUAUAAUAUAGAAUACCUAGUAUGCGCCCAACUGCAUUGUGGUAUAGAUAUAGCUAGCUGUUGUACAUAAGGUGUUUUAUAUAAUAUGUUGACUAAAUGAUCCCAACUGCAUCAAAAAACGAUAAAGUGUUUACUUCAACUUCUUGAUAUUUAAUUGUGAUAUUCAUGAAAUGUAUUUGGAUAAACUACGUAGCUCAGUCUUACUGCUAAUACAAAUUAUGCAGGGAGUUGGUUUAUCAUUUCAACUUUAAUUUGUUGGCAAGUAAACAUGUUUUAAUAAAACAGCAGAUUAGUCUGUUAAUAUAGCGAAUAAAAAGUAGACAUGGCUUGUAUUCAAGACAAAGUUUAUUUGCUCUGGAGUCCAAGGUGAGUUUACACAGCAGUAUGCAGGAACAGUUAUGGCAAUGUGUGACAUAUACACAAUUGAAGGAAAAUGUACUACUAACGCUUAUAAUAAAUAUUACAGUUCUAAAAAGGGAAUACUUGCAUGUGGUGCAGUGAGGUGUUUGGAGUCACUUUGAUAUAAGGGGAGAUUGUGGUUAUGGGACCUUUCCUCUUGAGUAAUCAACUUUUGUUUAAUCCAGGUGGUAUUCUCUGUGAGAGAAAGACAAAUGCUAUUACACAUUCAUGGGCAAUCGGUGUGUACUGUCUGUGUUCUACUAUAGCAGCAUGGUGUUGAAUAUGAGACAUCUCAAAGAAACACAUUAGCUAGCUAGCUACAACACACAGGUAUAGUUACUCCAAGACUAAUAUGAGUCAUCAAGCCAAAGACAUUACUUUACUCUCCACCAUCAUCAAAAUAUAUCUCUAGUUUUGCUCCUAAUGAGAGGCACUGAGGCUAGUUAGCUAGCUAGCUAUAACGUUAGACUACAGUACAUUUUAGGUAUAGCAAACAUAGUGAGCUAGCUAG